rnacentral:lncRNA from 1 species
ACAAUCAUAAAUAUAAAUCAAAUUAUCACAUACAUUGUAUAUGAAUUAUAUAAACUUAAUUACAAAACCUACCCUCGCUAAUCAUGUAGUUUUCUUUUACGGGCAAACACACACUCUCUAUUUACUCUUAAAAUCGUUACACCUGCAGGAUUUUGAACGCACGUCGCACAACACGUAGUUGAAGAACACAUCACUUUACCACCUUGAUGUCCGUUUAUUACGCCUCGUAAUCAUGUCUCUUUAUUUCUUCAAUGGUCCAUGUGAUGAUCCAAAUGUACCCAAUCAGAUCCAAAAUCAACAGUUUCCAUUUCAUCGAUCAAGUUUACUUCUAGAACCUUCUAGAAACACCACCAAACAUCUGAUCUAGAACAACAACAAGAGCCAUUGCAACGGUGGAACCGAGUUCCGGCUGUACAACCAGCCGGAACACAUCUCCACCUAAUGCAACGCCUCCUACGGCCUCCUUCCGCUUGAUCUCGGCCACACACCGCCGCUUGUCAUCAUACACGACGCAACAUCUCCGAGCGUAUGAGCCUUCGAUCUCGUACGCCACACUCUUUUUGUUGUUGUUGUUAGGUGAUCCUGUAGUACUCACAUUAGCAAUCGCCUUUCCGUUAAGCAAAUUCAUGCGCUUUGUCACUGAGAAUCGAUGAUUCACCGUCGUUUCCCCGUCGUACACUAGCCAGUUGUCGGUAAUGCUUGCUCUCUCGGCGUAAUUAUCGACUCUAAAGACGAGGUUACCGUUGUUAUCGAAGACUGUAAACCCAUCACAACUGAAUAACAAUGAUUUCUUCCAAACGGUGAGAACCACAGGAUCAUGAUUCCGACCAGCAGUUGAGGUUUCACUGGAGAAACGUUGUUGGUCGGAAGAAACACUGGUUGGAAUAACAACCUUAGGGUAUACUUUUGUCAUGUUGCUAAAGUUCAGGGGGGUGUUUAGUAAAGUUCUAUAAAAACGUUUUAUAGAAAAUGAGAGAGUUGAGGAUUUGAGAUGU